AACCUCCGCAAUGUGAGAAAUCGCGACGGGGGGAUCCCAAGUGCCAUUCUUAACGGGAUGGCUUUUCAUUAGUGUAAAGAGCUUUUGGAAUAAGGGCUGGGCAAGACCGGUGCCAGCCGCCGCGGUAACACCGGCAGCUCUAGUGGUAGCAGUUUUUAUUGGGCCUAAAGCGUCCGUAGCCGGUUUAAUAAGUCUCUGGUGAAAUCCUGUAGCUUAACUGUGGGAAUAGCUGGAGAUACUAUUAGACUUGAGACCGGGAGAGGUUAGAGGUACUCCCAGGGUAGAGGUGAAAUUCUGUAAUCCUGGGAGGACCGCCUGUUGCGAAGGCGUCUAACUGGAACGGUUCUGACGGUGAGGGACGAAAGUUAGGGGCGCGAACCGGAUUAGAUACCCGGGUAGUCCUAACAGUAAACGAUGCGGACUUGGUGUUGGGAUGGCUUUGAGCUGCUCCAGUGCCGAAGGGAAGCUGUUAAGUCCGCCGCCUGGGAAGUACGGCCGCAAGACUGAAACUUAAAGGAAUU
rnacentral:rRNA from 1 species